rnacentral:pre_miRNA from 10 species
ACUGUUCACGAGUGUCAUUUUAAUACUAUGCAGCUUUAAAUAAUGUUAGUUGCAUAGUAAUAAAAGUGAUCAUGCGUUUACAAG